GGGCGCAAGCCUGAUCCAGCCAUACCGCGUGGGUGAAGAAGGCCUUCGGGUUGUAAAGCCCUUUUGUUGGGAAAGAAAUCCAUCUGGCUAAUACCCGGGUGGGAUGACGGUACCCAAAGAAUAAGCACCGGCUAACUUCGUGCCAGCAGCCGCGGUAAUACGAAGGGUGCAAGCGUUACUCGGAAUUACUGGGCGUAAAGCGUGCGUAGGUGGUCGUUUAAGUCCGUUGUGAAAGCCCUGGGCUCAACCUGGGAACUGCAGUGGAUACUGGGCGACUAGAAUGUGGUAGAGGGUAGCGGAAUUCCUGGUGUAGCAGUGAAAUGCGUAGAGAUCAGGAGGAACAUCCAUGGCGAAGGCAGCUACCUGGACCAACAUUGACACUGAGGCACGAAAGCGUGGGGAGCAAACAGGAUUAGAUACCCUGGUAGUCCACGCCCUAAACGAUGCGAACUGGAUGUUGGGUGCAAUUUGGCACGCAGUAUCGAAGCUAACGCGUUAAGUUCGCCGCCUGGGGAGUA
rnacentral:rRNA from 1 species